rnacentral:rRNA from 1 species
CUAAAAACCCCCCUUUUUUCA